rnacentral:rRNA from 1 species
GACGAACGCUGGCGGCGUGCUUAACACAUGCAAGUCGAACGGAAAGGCCCUGCUUUUGUGGGGUGCUCGAGUGGCGAACGGGUGAGUAACACGUGAGUAACCUGCCCUUGACUUUGGGAUAACUUCAGGAAACUGGGGCUAAUACCGGAUAGGAGCUCCUGCUGCAUGGUGGGGGUUGGAAAGUUUUGGCGGUUGGGGAUGGACUCGCGGCCUAUCAGCUUGUUGGUGGGGUAGUGGCUUACCAAGGCUUUGACGGGUAGCCGGCCUGAGAGGGUGACCGGCCACAUUGGGACUGAGAUACGGCCAAGACUCCUACGGGAGGCAGCAGGGGGGAAUAUUGCACAAUGGGCGGAAGCCUGAUGAAGCAACGCCGCGUGCGGGAUGACGGCCUUCGGGUUGUAAACCGCUUUAGCAGGUGACGAAGCGUAAGUGACGGUAAUGGGUAAAGAAGCACCGGCUAACUACGUG